GGAAGCCGGGUUACGGUGCCCAACUGCGCGCUAACCUAGAACCCACAAAGGGUGUUGGUCGAUUAAGACAGCAGGACGGUGGUCAUGGAAGUCGAAAUCCGCUAAGGAGUGUGUAACAACUCACCUGCCGAAUCAACUAGCCCCNNNNNNGGAUGGCGCUGAAGCGCGCGACCCAUACCCGGCCAUCUGGGCGAGCGCCAUGCCCCGAUGAGUAGGAGGGCGCGGC
rnacentral:ncRNA from 1 species